rnacentral:rRNA from 1 species
GACGAACGCUGGCGGCGUGCUUAACACAUGCAAGUCGAACGGAAAGGCCCUGCUUUUGUGGGGUGCUCGAGUGGCGAACGGGUGAGUAACACGUGAGUAACCUGCCCUUGACUUUGGGAUAACUUCAGGAAACUGGGGCUAAUACCGGAUAGGAGCUCCUGCUGCAUGGUGGGGGUUGGAAAGUUUCGGCGGUUGGGGAUGGACUCGCGGCUUAUCAGCUUGUUGGUGGGGUAGUGGCUUACCAAGGCUUUGACGGGUAGCCGGCCUGAGAGGGUGACCGGCCACAUUGGGACUGAGAUACGGCCCAGACUACUACGGGAGGCAGCAGUGGGGAAUAUUGCACAAUGGGCGGAAGACUGAUGCAGCAACGCCGCGUGCGGGAUGACGGCCUUCGGGUUGUAAACCGCUUUCGCCUGUGACGAAGCGUGAGUGACGGUAAUGGGUAAAGAAGCACCGGCUAACUACGUG